UACGAAGGGGGCUAGCGUUGCUCGGAAUCACUGGGCGUAAAGGGCGCGUAGGCGGCGUUUUAAGUCGGGGGUGAAAGCCUGUGGCUCAACCACAGAAUGGCCUUCGAUACUGGGGCGCUUGAGUAUGGUAGAGGUUGGUGGAACUGCGAGUGUAGAGGUGAAAUUCGUAGAUAUUCGCAAGAACACCGGUGGCGAAGGCGGCCAACUGGACCCAUUACUGACGCUGAGGCGCGAAAGCGUGGGGAGCAAACAGGAUAGAACCCGAGGU
rnacentral:rRNA from 1 species